rnacentral:rRNA from 1 species
GGUUUGAUUAUGGCUCAGAUUGAACGCUGGCGGGAUGCUUUACACAUGCAAGUCGUGAUGAAACGGCAGUACGGACUUCGGUCUGGUGGCGAGUGGCGAACGGGUGAGUAAUGUAUCGGAACGUGCCUAGUAGCGGGGGAUAACUACGCGAAAGCGUAGCUAAUACCGCAUACGCCCUUCGGGGGAAAGUACUGGGCCUCGCACUAUUAGAGCGGCCGAUAUCGGAUUAGCUAGUUGGUGGGGUAAAUGGGUCACCGCGACGAUCCGUAGCUGGUUUGAGAGGACGUGCGACCAGCCACACUGGGACUGAGACGACGCCCAGACUCCUACGGGAGGCAGCAGUGGGGAAUUUUGGACAAUGGGGGAAACCUGAUCCAGCCAUCCCGCGUGUGCGAUGAAGGCCUUCGGGUUGUAAAGCAUUUUUGGCAGGGAAAGAAACGGCACGGGAUAAUACCCCGUGCAACUGACGGUACCUGCAGAAUAAGCACCGGCUAACUACGUGCCAGCAGCCGCGGUAAUACGUAGGGUGCAAGCGUUAAUCGGAAUUACUGGGCGUAAAGUGCAGGCGGUUCGAAAGAAAGAUGUGAAAUCCCAGAGCGAACUUUGAACUGCAUUUUUAACUGUCGAGCCAUAGAGUGUAUUGGUGGAGGUGGAAUCGCGUAGCAGUGAAAUGCGUAGAUAUGCGAGGAACACCGAUGGCGAAGGCAGCCUCCUGGGAUAACACUGACGCUCAUGUAAUGAAAGCGGGGAGCAAACAGGAUUAGAUACUCCUGGUAGUCCACGCCCUAAACGAUGCCAACUAGCUUUCGUUGGGGCCUUCGGGCCUGGUAGCGCAGCUAACGCGUGAAGCUGACCGCCUGGGGAUACACGCAAGAUUAAAACUCAAAGGAAUUGACGGGGACCCGCACAAGCGGUGGAUGAUGUGGAUUAAUUCGAUGCAACGCGAAAAAACCUUUACCUACCUUGACAUGUCUGGAAUCCCGAAGAGAUUUGGGAGUGUCGCAAGAGGACCGGAACACAGGUGCUGCAUGGCUGUCGUCAGCUCGUGUCGUGAGAUGUUGGGUUAAGUCCCGCAAUCGAGCGCAACCCUUGUCAUUAGUUGCUACGAAAGGCACUCUAAUGAGACUGCCGGUGACAAACUGGAGGAAGGUGGGGAUGAGUCAAGUCCUCAUGGCCCUUAUGGGUAGGGCUUCACACGUCAUACAAUGGUCGGGACAGAGGGUCGCCAACCCGCGAGGGGGAGCCAAUCCCAGAAACCCGAUCGUAGUCCGGAUCGCAGUCUGCAACUCGACUGCGUGAAGUCGGAAUCGCUAGUAAUCGCGGAUCAGCAGUGUCGCGGUGAAUACGUUCCCGGGUCUUGUACACACCGCCCGUCACACUCAUGGGAGUGGGUUUUACCAGAAGUAGUUAGCCUAACCGUAAGGAGGGCGAUUACCAUGCGGUAGGAUUCAUGACUGGGGUGAAGUCGUAACAAGGUAG